rnacentral:rRNA from 3 species
GACCUCAUAAAGUGCGUCGUAGUCCGGAUUGGAGUCUGCAACUCGACUCCAUGAAGUCGGAAUCGCUAGUAAUCGUGGAUCAGAAUGCCACGGUGAAUACGUUCCCGGGCCUUGUACACACCGCCCGUCACACCAUGGGAGUGGGUUGCAAAAGAAGUAGGUAGCUUAACCUUCGGGAGGGCGCUUACCACUUUGUGAUUCAUGACUGGGGUGAAGUCGUAACAAGGUAACCGUAGGGGAACCUGCGGUUGGAUCACCUCCUUACCUUAAAGAA